AUGACGACAAGAAGAAAAGCUUCUUUGGCCCGGUGUGUCUUCGGUUGUAUCCUUGAAUUAUUUGGGUUCAGUGACCGAAGUCUGACCAGUGCAUCUUUAUCUUCAUCCGUUUUCAUCGAUAUUCUACUCAAGCGAUCCUGGAGGUUAAGCACUAAACUGUACGCCGAAGACACUCACAGAUAUGGUGUGGAGAGGCGGUACAUUAUUUUGGCAAUGAUGCAAAGGUGGCACAUGAAGGCAUGGGUAACAAUAUAUGAUGUAAACAUUGUAGUUUUAAAGCAGCCUUAUAAUGCAGAUCAUUUUAGAUGGAUAUAUAACGACAGGAUGCUUAAAUGGUCUAAUGGCCUGAUAUUGCCAAAGGAUCCCCUAGAUAUAACCACCCCAAGGCAACCAAUAACCAGAGCGCAGCUGUCAACUCAUUUUAUUCAUUGGCCAGACUACGAAGCAUGGAAAGAGCAUCCAGGAGGAAAUGAAUCAUUGGGUUAUCUGAAUGGGUAUAACGCUAAAAUAAAUGAGAUUACCAUGAAUCAGGGAUCAUUGGUUGGUGAGCUGAUCUAUCUAUGA
rnacentral:rRNA from 1 species